rfam:Triticum aestivum genome assembly, contig: Triticum_aestivum_CS42_TGACv1_scaffold_558653_7AL
UUAGUACUCCCUCCAUCCCAAAAUUCUUGUCUUAGAUUUGUCUAAAUACGGAUGUAUCAAGUCAUGUUUUAGUAUUAGAUACAUCUGACUUGAUACAUCCGUAUCUAAACUAAUUUAAGACAAGAAUUUUGGGACGGAGAGAGUACUCA